ACAUGCCUACAACAUAGUGUUAAUUCAUUGGAUCCCAUUAGAACUCUGCAGUUAAGCGUGCUCGGGCUAGAGUAGUACUGGGAUGGGUGACCGCCUCAAAAGUCCUAUUGUUUUACAUGCC
rnacentral:rRNA from 1 species